rnacentral:lncRNA from 1 species
GCGAAUCCCCGCGAGUUAGGCGUCGAGGUAGGUAUCAAUCUUUCGUCUCGUCAAGUACUACAACUUUCCUUUUUGUUUCACUCAUUUCAUUGAGUAUUGAAGAAGUUAACUCAUUUGAAAAAUACCCAGUUUCCGGCGACCUCCGAGGCUUUCGAGGCAGUUUCCGGCCAAACUACGGCGAACUAGGUGUUGGGAAAGGUACCAUUCUCUUUGUCUCUUCAAGGGAUACAACUUUCGUUUUUGAAUCACUUGAUUUCGUUGAGAAAUGACAAAGUUAUGGCAAUUUGAAAAACUGCCCAGAAAACGGCCGCCGGAAAAACCAGUCCGGCGACCCAAGGAAGAAGAAGGUGCUACAGUAAAAAUAAAAAAUAAAAAUAAAAUUAUUUUAAAAAUAUGUCGACGUCCGUGGACGUCGAGUAGAUCACUGUGGUAUAUUCAUAUACCUAAAUUGAACACCGUAUGAGAAAGUUAUUGAAGAUUGUUGGUUAGGUGUUCAAAUAACGUCUUAUAGUUUUCACAUUUAGGUGAAAAUGUGAAUUGAUGAUCCGACCGUUGGAUCGUCACCAAACUUUGAUACGUUGUAAUACGUAAUAUUUGAGGAUUAUUGGAACUUACGGAUUGGGAAUCCGAGUUAACGGAUCUUCCGAAUUGGAAUUGUAAGUCCAUAAUAUAAAAUGUUAACCGUCACUUAGUUUUGGAAAUUGACGGAGAUCCGACCGUUGAUGGUAAUGAAAUUUUAGGAUGUUGUCCUAGAGGUAUAAUGUGGACCUCUGGAAGUUAUGGAUUUAAAAUCUGAGGGUGGAUCUUCCGGAUCAAUCUACGUAGUGACGUAUUUUAUAUAAGUUUAUAUAUUCUAUCGAUAUGAAUUCUGAGGUUGGAAUUGAUUAUUGUUUUAGGCGCCGAUCGUCAUGACGCCUUGGCGUAUUGUGCUAGGGAGUUGUAGGGCGAACUCCAGGUGAGUGGGCAGUUUUGUUUUCCGUAUAUAUAUAUAUACUUAACGUUUUCCCAGAAAUUGAAAAUGCAUGAAAUUAUGUUUAAAAUGAAAUGCAUAUGAGUUAUGUGGAAAAACGGGAAGUGAAAUACCAUGCAUAGAAUUGAUAUGAAAAGUAUAUAGAAAUGUGAGUUGAAAUGCCAUGCAUGAAUUAAUAUAUGAUGCAUAUGUAUGAAUUGGUGCGGUGGACGCACAGGUAAGAAUUGAUUUAUGAUGCAUAUGUAUGAAAUGGUGCGGUGGACGCACAGAUGAGUAUUUUAAUUACUGUUAUGAUGAUGAUGAUAUAUAUUGAGCUCAAAUCCUGCACCAUGGUUUAGUGCUUAUAGUAUUCACCGCAUCCACGCUCGCCUUGGAUCCAAGUAGAUGCUAGUCGUACAGUCCACGCGGAGUGGGUACGACAGACCAGUCGCGAGAGUGUUAGUGAGAUUCCGACUGGUGGGGUGACCUUAGAUUAUGUGCACAGAUGAUUUAUGAGAAGCACUAGAGCGUAACUUGUGUGCAGAAGGCCGGACGGGUCACAGAGGUGACUCCGGUAGAGUGAUAAUGAUAUAGAUUUUGAGCUCUAGGUUCAACCGUAUAGGGCUAUUAGAGGGCCCACGGUUGAUUUACUUUCUUGCACCUGAUAUGAUUAUGUUGAUGCAUUCAUACCUUAUUACUGUUGAGAUGAUGUGGCAUGGCAUAAUUAAUAUGAGAAAUGUUGAGAUGACAUGGCAUGGCAUGAUUGAUAAAGAGAUAAUGUUGAGAUAGUAAAAAUGAAGUUUUGAGAAUAUAUAUGUAUAUUUAUAUUUUACAUUUCUGGGAAAGUAUACAGGUUUUACGGAGAGGGGUUACAACGUUUGAGAAAUGUUUGGAUUUGGAAAAGAAUUGUUUUACUGACCCACUCAAUUUUGGUUUUGCGCCCCUCCAGGUUCAGGAAUCACAAAGGUGUGGUGACUACGAGGAAUUCGACGGUGUUCUGACAGAUUGGACAAAAUUAGGACUCACCUUCGGGUGUAUCAAUUUAAAUUGUAUCUUAAAGCUUCCGUACUGUGCAAAUGGUUACGUCACUCUCACGUGACGGCCAGCAUGCCCUCCUUCGGGACGGGGUGUGUCAGUACCCACACACACACACACACACAAAAUACAUUGGAGAGUAUAAUUCAUCUUUAAUAUUUUAAAUCGCCUAAGUAAUGGAUUUUAUUUAAAAUCUCAUUAUAUAUAAAUAACUACAAAUUUCAUUUUUAAUUUAAAAAUAUAUUAUUACAUUAAUGUUAGGAACUUCGAUAAAAAAUUAAAAACAACUAAGGUUUCAGUCAAAGAACAUUGGUAGUUAAGAACUUCAUCCAAAGUGUCCCUUUAAAAUUUAUCCACCUAACAUUAACCGGAUGAAAAUGUAUGACUUUAUUUAAUUAAGCUACCCAUUUCACCAAAUUAAAUAGGAUAAACCAAAUAUUGGGCCACCAAUACAUAUCAAUAUCAUCCUCAAAAUAUAGGUAUGGCUUUUGAGCCACGAAAGUUGCUGCCUCAUGGAUUAAAUCCCUUUUGAAGAGUCCAUGUUCACUUAUUAUACCUCCUGCUGCUUUAUUAUUAUGGCACUAAAAAAUUCUCAUUUAUCAAGAAAAUUGAGGAUUAUAAAAUCAAUUAGUAAUAUAGGAAGUAACUUGAUAUGAGACUCUUUUCAUGCCAAAUGUGGAGCAAAAAAUAAUCACAAGGCAACACGUGGAUUUUUGGAUGAAGAUAACAAAUUUACCCUCGAGGCAUACCGGAUCUCCUACACGCGAGCAGUGGAGAAUCAUCCAUCAACCAAAUCAAGAGUACCCAAAAUAGGUAAUAAGUUCAAAUUUGUAUCAUCCAUCCUCAUUCCAUAACCUCCAAAACCCUCCCAUAACAUUUCUUUUAUUAUGAUAAUUAGCCAAUUAAUAUAUUUAUACCUAAUUAAUAUAUUAAUUGCUAAUUGAAUCACCAAAUAACACCCCAAAACACACUUAAAGGCCGGCCACACCCCAUUCCCUAUAUAUAUGACCCUAUUUCUUCUAAAAAGUUAAGUUGAUACUCUUGCAAAACUCCAAAAAAAUCUCCAAACACUUUUUCUCUCUAAAUUCUAACUUUGGC